AGGUGAUUCUACUGGGCAGCGAGAUUUGAAAGCCAUUAGACUUCACAACGUUUUUUAUUGAAAUGCGUCGUUCUCCCUAAUCUCACUUUAAUGAACGAAAGGCCGCCAGGUUUCUUAGAAACUGGGAGAUUGUGGACAAAUGCUUGGAUUUUUGGAAGUGGCCAUGGUUUGAAUAACUAUUUGAUUGCUGCUCUACUUUCUGACAUUCUCUCUAUGUCUCUAUCGAUUUCUCUCUCUCUACACACACACACUCACACGCUUCUGUUGACUUUGUCUUCCCAGGAAAGUUAGACACUUCCGAGUAGCCGAUCAGCGUGCAAAUUAAUUUCACGCUCUGGGACCCAGGUGUAAAGGGAUUUGUGCUGAGACUCGGCGGCUGGCGUGCGGUGGAAGGCGGGGGGACUACCUUGAUUUCUCCCCCUUUGAACGCGGACGCCGGAGAUGGUUCGUGGCUGAGCUCAAGGACUCUCGGGCGGAAAGCGGAGGCUCACCCCUCCGCGGGAACCCGGGGCCGGGGCAGCCACCGCGACAAGUUCCGGGGAGGCUCCUGGGCGAGUGGGAUGGCGUCUGCCUCCUGGGGCCGGCCUGUGCCCGCACCCGCGCAGCCUCGGGUGAAGAAGAGAACUCGAGACCGCCCGGGGCAACGGGCUGGUCCCCGCACAACUGGGACGACACAAACGUGACCUCUUUGCAGCCCCCGACCCCAAUCCCCAGCCCAGCAACCCCUACACUGGCGAUCCCGAAGGACAGGCGCGGGCCCGGGUGAAGCAGAAGGCACAACAACGCUGUCGCCAACCCUCUGGAAGAGCGCACGAGAAGCCGCUGGCGCGGUAUCCUGUCAACCUAGCCACUCAGUAAAGAGACUUAAAGGCU